ensembl:lncRNA
AUGCUGACCCUGUGUAUCAGAAACAAUAAAAACUCAAAACUACAUAGUUUUCCCUCUCUCCUGCAGCUUGCUCACAUUCCCCUUUUGAGAGGAUUUAUGAUCUCGUGCUCAUAUCAGAAACCAGAGAUCCAUCUCUGUCCUUGGAAGUACCUCGACUGCUCUUCUGUCUUCAGGUGUCUCACUGAAGACGGAAUUUCAACUGACAGGAAAGAAAGAAGUGAUGCUUUGAAUACUGCAAUAGACAGUAUGUGCAAGAAGACAAGAGAUCUUCGCAGACAGGUAAAUCUCCUGGGGAACUGGUAGAAAAAGUAGACUUAAGGACUUGCCUAAACUGCAGUUUUCAGAUUUUAUGACACUACAUUUUGUAAAUAAACCUUUCUUCUGUGUUAGAGAAAUACUGAAGAUAAUUACAGCAUAUAUGUGCAGAUCUACAAAACUGUGCAAAAAACCCUACCACGUUUAGAUGUUGGCAGAGUAUAUGUAUGUAGACAUGUGCACAUGUCUAGUGUGUGUGUAUAUAUACAUUUUCUAGAAGCAUAUAUUGGUAAUGUGCUUUUUAGUUUUAUUCUAAAAGUACUUGAAUUAUCAUUCGCUUGAUUUUUCUAUUGUUGGAAUACAUACCUUGAAGGGACCACGGAGUCUAUGCUUAGUCCUUCCUUUCUGUAGGAGAUUAAGCAACAGAGAAGGGUACUGUGAAUAAUUGGUCCAGAGUCAAACCUCAUGUUUUGCAUCCCAUUAUCCUAAGACUAAAGUAAAGCAGGGAUCAAAAUCUGCAGCUUUGGUGUAUCACGGAAGAUGAGCAAUGGACAAUCAGUUCUGUAUACAUCGUUGCAGCUGCAAAAAGCAUCUUUGAGAAAAUUGUUUAUAGUGCUGAAAGUAUAGGAAGUUCCAUCUUAGAAAGGAGAGUUGAAAAGCUUGUAGUACUUUCAGCCAAGCAGUCCCAGCCAUCCAUGUGAAAAUUUAUGGCCACACAGAAUGUGAACACACAUGGCUUUUAUCCUAUCUGGCACUGGCUGUUUGUCAAUUCUCUGGUGGAAGAAAAUCUGUCCCAACUUUGUAUACAGUCUUACAACCCAACUCUUAUGUUUUAUAAUGGUAAAUAAAUCUUUUCUGUCUCCCAUGUUCAUUCAGGAGAAACCUUGAAAAAUAAGACAACUGUAUUAUGGUAUUUGCAGCUAACUAGCUAUCCCAUUUCCUUUCACAUUUCAUCAAAAUUGCAUUCAGUUCAGACACCCUUGCGAUGAAGGCUUUCAUCAUGAGCUCUGUUAACUCUUCCAUUGUAUUAUACUGUCUCUUCCAUAAGUAAAAUAAGCUCCGUCUUUUCAUUGACUCAAGAAAUAUCUCUGUUGCAGCAUUUAAAACUUAUUUUAAAAAAUUUUUUGUCUAGAAGCCUUUGUAAAAUGAUUGGAUUGAAUGCAGUCAUGCUCAGCUCAGUUGAUAGUUUAGAACUAGUAUCGACAACCAGAGUAGCUCUGUGGCAGAGUAACUGUGUGGCCUAAGUAAAUUUUUCUAGAAGGUAUGUAUAAAGAAAUACUUGCUGUACUCCCUCCAAGUUAGACAACAUCCUCCUCCUGAUUGCGUCUCUUUCACUUACAAGUAGGAGAUGUACUGUGCUGUGAUUAAAAUUCCUUCCCUGAUAGCACCUGCCAGAGCUGCGGUUGCUAUUGUUCUUUGUUUACUUAUCUUGCUAUAUUUCUAUUUAAUUCUUAGCAUUUUGCUCUGCAGGUGGUCAGUGCCAAAAACAGAUAUAUGGGGUAGUGGAAAAAAAGAUUGUUAGGAUUAGACUGAAGAGAAAUUAAUACUGCUUCAGGCAGUUCCUUUUCCUUACCUUGUUUAACAUUGCAUUUCUUCAUUCUUUAAUAGAACACAGGCCAAAUUUGAAAAUCUCAGCUUCAGGUGUUUCUUAGCAUAGUUAAAAUAAGAACGUAUUUCAAACUUGUUUGUAUUCAGCGAAGACACAGCACUAUCAUUUUUAGAAAAAGAUAUUUCGUUUUCUGAACAGCAGGAUACAGGAUUUCUUGAAACAAAAUAAUACUGAUAAUUUAUAUGUGAAAGAUUAAUUAAUCCAACCACACCAGUAAAAAGCAACAGAAAAUAAUUAUUUGAUGAGAGAGAAAAUUAGGCUUCUAUUUUAAAACUGAAUGCCUCAAAUUCACCAUGAAUGUGACUGAGGUCAGAAGUCCUAAAAUAAUGUAGUGAGGCUGCAAAAUUACUGUAGCCUGGAUUAUAUCCCCGAACCCUAACAUUUCUCUUGGAGAUGAUGAAUUAUUAGCCCUUGAUAAGGUUCCACAGUGUUUUGUUGUUGAUGCUAUGAAUGAAAAUCAGUAUUUUAGACCGUGAUUCCUCAAGGUCACAUUUAUGUACUUAUUUUUAGUGCACGUGAUAUACAUUGAUGGGAGCGUAUCAGUUUUCUUCAGUUGGACACAAAUUUUAAAAGAUAAUUUGACAGGAGGUUCAGUGUAUUUUGAUCCUGGUAUCGUCUUCAUUUUUAAAAUAUCAGAAUUAUUAUGGAUGGGGCUGUUCU